rnacentral:tRNA from 2 species
GGGGGUGUAGCUCAUUUGGCAGAGCGCGUCAUUAGCAUUUUCUUUUCAAAAGAUUCUUGACGAGGUACUGGGUUCAAUUCCCAGCUCCUCCA